GUAUGUAAGGCAGCAGGGUGACUCUUUGUCUUAUCAAAUGGGAUGGAAAGUUCAUUUUCUAGCUUCUGAGCAAUGUGGAAUGACUGAAAUGCCUUAGCAAAUUCGUCGACUGGAAUAAAUCUGUUUUCAAUGUUGAGGAAUAAUUGGUCAAAUUCAG